AUUGAACGCUGGCGGUAUGCUUAAGACAUGCAAGUCGAACGGUAACAGGUUAAGCUGACGAGUGGCGGACGAGUGAGUAACGCGUGGGAAUCUACCUUGUAGUGGGGGAUAAGCCAGGGAAACUUGGACUAAUACCGCAUACGCCCUAAGGGGGAAAGGAGCAAUUCGCUAUAAGAUGAGCCCGCGUCUGAUUAGGUAGUUGGUGGGGUAAAGGCCUACCAAGCCGACGAUCAGUAGCUGGUCUGAGAGGAUGAUCAGCCACGUCGGGACUGAGACACGGCCCGGACUCCUACGGGAGGCAGCAGUCGGGAAUAUUGGACAAUGGGGGAAACCCUGAUCCAGCAAUACCGCGUGUGUGAAGAAGGCCUGCGGGUUGUAAAGCACUUUCGGCCGGGAAGAAAUCGUAUGGGUUAAUACCCUGUGCGGAUGACGGUACCGGCAUAAGAAGCACCGGCUAACUACGUGCCAGCAGCCGCGGUAAAAGUCUCUAU
rnacentral:rRNA from 1 species